AUGUCCCUUCAUUCUUCAACUGCCAUUCCAGGGGACAUGUGUCCAUGCUGAUGACAGGUUCUGCUCAAUAACAACUCAAAGCAGCUUUCUUUUUUGGUUCUGUUUGGGUAUUUUAGUUUCUGCA